rnacentral:rRNA from 1 species
CCUACGGGUGGCAGCAGUGGGGAAUAUUGCGCAAUGGGCGCAAGCCUGACGCAGCGACGCCGCGUGAGGGAUGAAGGUCUUCGGGUCGUAAACCUCUGUUAGCAGGGAAGAAAGGUCACUGUGCUAAACAGCAGUGAAUUGAUGGUACCUGCAAAGGAAGCACCGGCUAACUACGUGCCAGCAGCCGCGGUAAUACGGAGGGUGCGAGCGUUAAUCGGAAUGACUGGGCGUAAAGGGCUCGUAGGCGGUAUGGCAAGUCAAGGGUGAAAUCCCCGGGCUCAACGUGGGAACUGCCUUUGAAACUGGCAGACUGGAGUGUGUGAGAGGAUAGUGGAAUUCCAGGUGUAGGAGUGAAAUCCGUAGAUAUCUGGAGGAACAUCAGUGGCGAAGGCGACUAUCUGGCACAUAACUGACGCUGAGGCGCGAAAGCGUGGGUAGCAAACAGGAUUAGAUACCCGUGUAGUC